rnacentral:lncRNA from 1 species
GAAGACCUGAUCUGCCUGCCAGUCAGGUAUCUUCAUCAUGUUGAACACGCAAGGUUCAGAAGAACUAAAGCUGUACUCAGCAUGCUUGGUGGUGCCAGGAGUCAGGAUAGACAAGCUCCAAGGGAGGAAAGCAAGAGAUCUAAAGGGUGGAGUGGAUCUCCCAGGGAGCUUCCUGGAGGAGGCAGUGCCUGCAAUCCAGAUAUGUUUUAAUUCCUGUGGAUCAGAAGGUACAAAUCCAGUCUCUAGAGUAUCCAGGCAGUUAACCAAAAGGAAUGACUUUCCUCUCAUAGAUAAAACAACAAGAUGUGGUGGGCUCUAGCAAAGUCUAACUGCUGCUUGUGUAUGUGUGUGUGUGUGUGUGUGGGGGGGGGUUAUGUUGGAGUCAGACAACUGGCCAAGCAGGGGCACACUGGAGUAACUUUUUAUUUCCAAAAUCAAGGAAUUUAUACUUUUAUAGGAAAUUUCCAAAUGUUAUCCAACACUUCAUAUACCAAGCAAAACACAUCUGCUAGUGACUGAAUUCACUAGUGACCAAUUUCUGACGUCAGUUCAGUUAAUAAACCAUUUACGGAUCCUGUAGUUCAAAGUGACAAUGUCCUCAUUGGAAGUAUCUGAUCUGAGUUAAUAAUGUAUUAGAAUGUACUUAAUUGCAGUAAAGGGAACUUGUGCUUUUAAAGUCUCUCUUGUGGGUCAAAUCCAGAAAAAUAAUUCUAAAUGUCCUAGACAAAGUGGCCUGGCUGUAGAAUAGAAAGCAAUCAUGGCUUUGAAGUGUGGUCUUCUCUUGUCUUGCUGCCCCAUAGCACAGUUGGGAGAAAUAAGACUACAGUGAGAGAGAGAACUCUGGCUACUAUUCUGAGUCAUAAAUAUUUUCAUUUUCAUUUGUUCCAGCCUAACAGCUGCCUGUAAGAAGCCAAGGGUCUGUGUGGCCAAGCGUAGGCCAGUUGGAAUUGCUGUGUUAUUUUUGUUUUUGUUUUUUUGUUUGUUUGUUUUCUUACAAAAUCAAGGAAUUCAUAUUUUUAUAGGAACUUUCCAAAUUUUAUCGAACACUUUAUACGCCAAAGAAAACAUUUCUGCCAGUGGUUCAGGGGCUGGAGCUGUGUUCCUAUAAAGAAAUUAAAUGAGUCAAUCAGAGGGAAGCAAAAGGCCUGCAAGAGGGUAAGUUCCCCCAUUGGUUAUGCCUGAUGAUUAGAUUUUAUUUAUUUGUUUUUUUACUGAAUCUGGGUGUGGUGGUACAUGUCUGUAACCUCAGUACUCAGGAAGCUGAGCUCAAAGUCAGCCUGGGCUUCAUAAGAAUUUGAGCCACUCUGAGUUGCACAGCGAGAUUCUCUUGUCCAAACACAAUUUUGAGCUCUGACACUUGCCAGGUUUUUGCUGCCCUGUCCAACACCUCUGAAAGAUAACGAGAAAUAACUUUGGCACAUAGAGAUUUCAAAGCAGAAAACAGGAUUGUCAUUAAGAGUGGAAAAACAAUAUUAACUAACUGGACCCCUCAGAACUCCCAGGGACUAAACCACCGCUGCAUACGUAGCAGAGGAUUGCCUUAGCUGGCAUCAAUGGGAGGGGAGGCGAAUUGCUCUGUGGAGGCUCUGAUGCCCCAGUGAAGGAGGAUGCUAACGGGUGACGCAGGAGUGGGUGGAUGGGCUUAGAGGCAAAGGGCUGGGGGUGGGGUGGGAUGGGGGUUUGUGGAGGGGUGACUGGGAAGGGGGACAACAUUCAAUAAAAAACAAAGAAGAAGAAGAAAAAGAGUGGAAUUUGGUACCGGAGGGAACAACCAAGCAUUUCCUUUGGGCCGAUUUCAAGCAUUGGACCAUGCACUGAAGAUCUGCUUGCUCAAAGGGAGGGAGACUUGUUUCAAAAUCUCUGUAGAGGUCCACCUGUGUUAUCUUUUGCAAUUUAUUUUCCUGACGCACUUCCAAGUCUUCUGUGAAGUGUUCCUUCCAGGGAGUUUAGUAUCUGGUGUUUAUCCAAUAAACCUUCCCAGUCUGCUUUCUCUCUUGUUUUUCUACCAGGCAGCUAGUCCCCUCAUUAACUUAAGUAUAACCAACGUGAAAGCUAUCUUGUUGGAAUAAGACUAGCUUUUCCCCCUUGGUUGAAACAUUCAAGAUUGAAAUGCUUUCAAGCAUACAAGAGGGAUGACCAGCAAAGUUAAGUUUCUAUCUCACAUUCCCAGACUCCCAAUCUCUGUGUGUGUUUUAUCUUUUGACCAGUCGGGGAGAAAGUUACCAGCAUUUCUGAAAUUCUUAGGAAACUGC